AUGACGAUGCUGGGGCAGCCACAGGCGCAGCCGGCGGCGGCGUUCGGGGACACCACGCUGACCAAGGUGUUCGUGGGCGGGCUGGCGUGGGAGACGCACAAGGACACCCUCCGCGAGCACUUCGAGCGCUUCGGCGACAUCCUCGAGGCCGUCAUCAUCUCCGACAAGCUCACCGGCCGCUCCAAGGGCUACGGCUUCGUGACGUUCAAGGAGGCGGAGGCGGCCAAGAAGGCGUGCGAGGACGGCACCCCGGUCAUCAACGGCCGCCGCGCCAACUGCAACCUCGCCUCCCUCGGCGCCAAGCCGCGGCCCCAGCCGCCGCACCUCCUCCGCCCCUCGCCGCCGACCACCCCGGCGCCGCAUCACAUGCCAGCGCUCCCGUCCCCUCACCGCCAGCCCGCGCCAGCCAUCGCGGUGGGGUCCAGGGGCGUGUCGCCGGUGCCGUGGUACUACCACCCUUCCACGACGCCGCCGCCGCCGCCGCAGGCCGCGCACUACGGCCACGGCGCUCACCAGCAGUACCACGGCGUCCUCCCGUUCUACCCCGCCGCCGCCAACUACGGCUACUCCCCAAACUACGUCACUGACCUGAGCUACAACGCGAAGCUGGGCCAAGCGGCGGCGGCAGCGGCGCCUGGCGCGGGCGGGUCCUACAUGCAGCCGCAGGGGCACUUCUCGUACCCGCCGGCGGCGGCGCAUGGAGGCAUGCUCGCGCCCAACGGCAUGAUGCCCGUGUACCCCUACUACCACUACCACUACCACGGCUCGCAGGGGCUGGGCGUCCCGGCCGCGCACUUCUUCCCGCCGGUCUCCGCCGCCGUGCCCACCGUGCCCGCCAUCAUCUCAAAGCCCACAGUCAUGGUGCCUUCCAAAGUGGAGCAGGUGGCUGGGUGCAGCUGA
rnacentral:rRNA from 1 species